rnacentral:rRNA from 1 species
GGUUCGAUUAUGGCUCAGAUUGAACGCUGGCGGAUGUACACAUGCAAGAGUCGAACGGCAACGGACUUCGGUCUGGUGGCGAGUGGCGAACGGGUGAGUAAUGUAUCGGAACGUGCCUAAGUAGCGGGGGAUAACCGCGGCGUAGCUAAUACCGCAUACGCCCUUCGAGGAAAGCAGGGGACCUUCCGGGCCUCGCACUAUUAGAGCAGCCGAUAUCGGAUUGGCUGGUUGGUGGGGUAACGGCUCACCAAGGCGACGAUCCAUGCUUCUUUGAGAGGACGACCAGCCACUGGGACUGAGCCGGCCCAGACUCCUGGGAGAGAGCAGCAGUGGGGAAUUUUGGACAAUGGGGAAACCUGAUCCGGCCAUCCCGCGUGUGCGAUGAAGGCCUUCGGAUUCAUAAAGCACUUUUGGCAGAAGAAACGGCACAUAAUACCCCGUGCGGCUGACAGUACCUGCAGAAUAAGCACCGGUAACUACGUGCCAGCAGCCGCGGUAUUGACCGUAGGAGGUGCAUGCGUUAAUCGGAAUUACUGGGCGUAAAGCGUGCGCGAGCGGUUCGGAAAGAAAGAUGUGAAAUCCCCAGAGCUUAGCUUUGGAACUGCAUUUUUAACUACCGAGCUAGAGUGUGUCAGAGGAGGUGGAAUUCCCGCGUGUAGCAGUGAAAUGCGUAGAUAUGCGGAGGAACACGAUGGCGAAGGCAGCCUCCUGGGAUAACACUGACGCUUUCUUUUUGAAAGCGUGAGAACAAACAGGAUUAGAUGCCCUGGUAGUCCGCCUAAACAAUCAAUAGCUGUUGGGGCCUUCGGGCCUUGGUAUGCAGCUAACCCGUGAAGUUGACCGCCUGGGAAGUACAGUCGCAAGAUUAAAACUCAAAAUUGUUGGGGACCCGCACAAGCAGUGGAUGAUGUGUAUAAUUCGAUGCAACGCCGAAAAACCUUACCACCACUUGACAUGUCUGGAAUCCCGAAGAGAUUUGAGGUACUCGCAAAGAGAACCGGAACACAGGUGCUGCAUGGUAUCGUCCGGCUCGUGUCGUGAGAUGUUGGGUUAAGUCCCGCAACGGCGCAGCGCUGUCAUUAGUUGCUGCGAAGGGCACUCUAAUGAGACUGCCGAUAUGACCAGAGGAAGGUGGGGAUGACGUCAAGUCCUCAUGGCCCUUAUGGGUGGGGCUUCACGUCCUUUCAAUGGUCGGGACAGAGGGUCGCCAACCCGCGAGGGAGCCAUCCCAGAAACCCGAUCGUAGUCCGGAUCGCGGUCUGCUCGACUGCGUGAGUCGGAAUCGCUAGUAAUCGCGGAUCAGCAUGUCGCGUUGAAUACGUUCCCGGGUCUUGUACCUACGCCCGUCACACUGCAGGAGUGGGUUUUUGCAAGAAAUAGUUAGCCUAAUAUGAGGAGGGCGAUUACCACGGUAGGAUUCAUGACUGGGGUGAAGUCGUAACAAAGAUGG